rnacentral:rRNA from 1 species
GUAGGGGGCGNGCGUUGUCCGGAUUUAUUGGGCGUAAAGNGCUCGUAGGCGGUUCGAUAAGUCGGAAUGUGAAAUCUCCACGCUUAACGUGGAAGGGUGCAUUCGAUACUAGUCGUGACUAGAGUCCGGCGAGGAGUGUGGAAUUUCUGGUGUAGCGGUGAAAUNGCGCAGAGAUCAGGAGGAACACCCGUAGCGAAGGCGGCACUCUGGGCCGGAACUNGACGCUGAGGAGCGAAAGCGUGGGUAGCGAACAGGAUUAGAUACCCUGGUAGUCCACGCCGUAAACGUUGGGCACUAGGUGUGGGACUCUAUCGACGGGUUCCGUGCCGUAGCUAACGCAUUAAGUGCCCCGCCUGGGGAGUACGGCCGCAAGGCUA